rnacentral:rRNA from 1 species
CCUACGGGACGCAGCAGUGAGGAAUAUUGGUCAAUGGCCGGAAGGCUGAACCAGCCAUGCCGCGUGAAGGUCAGUGCCCUAUGGGCGUUAAACUUCUUUUGUGCGGGAGCAAUAAUGGUCACGUGUGGCCAGACGAGAGUACCGUACGAAUAAGCAUCGACUAACUACGUGCCAGCAGCCGCGGUAAUACGGGGGAUGCAAGCGUUAUCCGGAGUGAUUGGGUUUAAAGGGUGCGUAGGCUGUGGGGUAAGUCAGCGGUGAAAUGCCCCCGCGCAACGGGGUGAAGUGCCAUUGAUACUGCCUUUCUGGAAGUCGGAUGCCGUGGGAGGAAUGUGUGGUGUAGCGGUGAAAUGCAUAGAUAUCACACAGAACACCGAUUGCGAAGGCAUCUCACGAAUCCGCGAUUGACGCUGAUGCACGAAAGCGUGGGUAUCAAACAGGAUUAGAUACCCGGGUAGUC